GAUGAACGCUGGCGGCGUGCCUAAUACAUGCCAGUCGAGCGAACGGACGAGAAGCUUGCUUCUCUGAUGUUAGCGGCGGACGGGUGAGUAACACGUGGAUAACCUACCUAUAAGACUGGGAUAACUUCGGGAAACCGGAGCUAAUACCGGAUAAUAUUUUGAACCGCAUGGUUCAAAAGUAAAAGACGGUCUUGCUGUCACUUAUAGAUGGAUCCGCGCUGCAUUAGCUAGUUGGUAAGGUAACGGCUUACCAAGGCAACGAUGCAUAGCCGACCUGAGAGGGUGAUCGGCCACACUGGAACUGAGACACGGUCCAGACUCCUACGGGAGGCAGCAGUAGGGAAUCUUCCGCAAUGGGCGAAAGCCUGACGGAGCAACGCCGCGUGAGUGAUGAAGGUCUUCGGAUCGUAAAACUCUGUUAUUAGGGAAGAACAUAUGUGUAAGUAACUGUGCACAUCUUGACGGUACCUAAUCAGAAAGCCACGGCUAACUACGU
rnacentral:rRNA from 1 species